GUAGAACUGCAAACAUCUUUGCUGCCAAAGACUGAUCUCUACCCUAGCAGUAGUCCACUGCUUAUUGUGUUGCUGCAGCAAUGGGUGAGAGAACAUGGGCACACAACUGGGCUUGUCUGCUGCAGGUUUCCUUCAGCUAAUUCAGGUUUUGCAAGUCAUGAUGUGAGUUUUUCUCCCUGAAAGAAAAAAAUUGAAAAAGUCA